AGAGCGAACGCUGGCGGCAGGCUUAACACAUGCAGGUCGAGCGGGCGUAGCAAUACGUCAGCGGCAGACGGGUGAGUAACGCGUGGGAACGUACCUUUUGGUUCGGAACAACACAGGGAAACUUGUGCUAAUACCGGAUAAGCCCUUACGGGGAAAGAUUUAUCGCCAAAAGAUCGGCCCGCGUCUGAUUAGCUAGUUGGUGAGGUAACGGCUCACCAAGGCGACGAUCAGUAGCUGGUCUGAGAGGAUGAUCAGCCACAUUGGGACUGAGACACGGCCCAAACUCCUACGGGAGGCAGCAGUGGGAAUAUUGGACAAUGGGCGCAAGCCUGAUCCAGCCAUGCCGCGUGAGUGAUGAAGGCCCUAGGGUUGUAAAGCUCUUUUGUGCGGGAAGAUAAUGACGGUACCGCAAGAAUAAGCCCCGGCUAACUUCGUGCCAGCAGCCGC
rnacentral:rRNA from 1 species